AGUACAAAUUAUUUCCUAAAGAAUCAAUCACAGCCGUCCAUUCCUCAAUCAUAUUUUCCAUCAGCUCUUUCCCCUUCCUUUCAUGUGUUUCUUUUUCUUUUUCCGUUCCCCAGACUUCCAUCUUCCUUUGCAGCUGUUCAGUUUCUCAUUUGACAAAUAUAAAGAAAAAAGAAUCGAAGAAAGAAAAAGAGAGGGAGAGAAGGAAAAGGCAAGUAUGAGAUGGAGAAAGAAAGAUCGAGACGAUGUAGAAAGAUGGAGAAGAUAAGAACGAUAAUGAUUCGUCCGGCGACGGUGGAGGCUGGCAGACAGAGUUCCUUUUUCUCCAUUAUUGUCUUAUGACAUGGACAAGACCUACUCAUCAUCAUCAUCAUCUAGAUUAAUGGGCUGAUCCUGAUAUUGAGCUUCCAGGGCCGUUUGUAUACAAAGUUUAUCGAGAAUCAUUUGAAAAGGAUUUCAACAUGGCAGAUAUUGAACCUGAAAAAUCAGCCAGAUGGGGAAUUCCUGCGCUGAAUCGCUGCUUCUCCUCGAAGUUUUCUAGAGAAAUUGAGCAAGAGUCAUCCAAUUUUGUAACGCUUGGUAUUACCAUUGAUGAGAACAAAUAGAUUGAUGGCAUUGAAGGUAGUUUUUGGAUUAAUUCUUCCCCUUUUGUCCAGCAAAUCCAUAUUUGCUAAUAUUUUAUUUUCAGAAUUCCCCUAUCCCUUUAAGGUAAUUGUGUGUUGAUUGAUAGUGAAACAUAUUGUGCUCAAAUAAACAUAUGAAUUGAAAGAUUAGAGACGAGUGGAUUAUAAAUGUUUAAGAGAGCUACACAGUUUUGUUGUCUUUGAUUUAUUCCUCCCCCCCCCCUUCUGUUUAAACUGUAUCAGCAGUUUAUUUUCAUGUAUUUUGAAAGAAUCCAGUUAUAUAAUUGGGUUGCUUUGUUUAUGUAUUUUAGGUGCCCACUAGGGUGGGCAACUUUGAAACUGGUCCACCGGUGCACCAUGAUUUAUAACCAUUAGAUUUUAGCAUCUUAGAAUAUUUUCUAAUUGAAUGGUCAGGAUUUGAUACAUGAAAAAAUGGUAAAAAUGUAAGUGUCACACUUCUU